rnacentral:lncRNA from 1 species
GAGUGUUUGUCCUGCAUGUUCCCAUGGCACAAAGUGUUCAACUCCAGCAAUACCAUUACUCUAUAUUCAAUCUGCUUGCCUGCCUCCUCUAGUUUGUGAGCUAUAUGAGGGCAAGGAUAGGGUCUUAUAUCUAUACCCCACACUGUAUCCCUCUAACACAUAGCAAAUAUUAAUGAUUGUAAUUUGGGGCAUGCUGGGCAGCCCCAGCCUCAGAAAGCCAGCUUUCCCCAUUCUUUCUUAAACCCAGAAGAUCUACUGAGGGAAUAAGUCCUUGUUGUUCUUUACAAACAGAUAAACUUAUUCUGAACCAGAUCACCCUAGCCAUAUCUGAUUAGGUCAAAAAUGGCCACCUGACCCAAGGGCAGUCAAUUUCUAUACUUGAGAGCAGCCAAUGAUAGGAGAACUCUGUCCAAGACCAAUAAUUCUCAUUAAUUAAAACCAGGUAGGGUCUCUGUUGAGAAUUUGACUUCAAUACACAGAGAAAGUCAUUAGCUAGUAAUGAUGGGCAAAAGUUAAGAUACAGAUGGAAAAGCAAACAACAGAUGCCAUGAGGUAAAAGCAGUCAUGAUGAGUUCUAGUAAACAAAAACCGGAUAGAAGAAAAGAGGGGUGAGAUAACAUUUUUAGAUGUGGAAGUAAUGAAUUCUUGCUUCUGGUGGAUAAAAAGAUAACUUGUUCAGUAUAGGCUCCUCGUAUUCUGAGUAGCCAAGAAUACAUAUUCCUUUAACCAAAUAUGAACCAAGCACCUACCAUGUGCUAAAUAUGACAUGAGUUUUAGUGGUGAACAAGACAAAUCUAUUUUGUUCCCAUGGAACUUUGAAUCUGCUUAGCUUAGAAUCUAGACAUAGAAGACAUAUUGAAUAAGUAAAAAUUAUUGCGAUAAGUAUUAUAAAGGAGUAACGGUAGGCUUUCAUAGAAAUAUAUGCAAUCUUGAAUUAUACUUUCCAUUGAACUAUUUUUCAUAAGAUGCUUAAUUGUACAGACUUUCUUGAAUUAUUAAAGGGCCUAACUCACACAUCAGACUCCUGUCAUCCUUAUUUUCAUACAAAUUGGCUCCUACACACAAGGGGGAUAUCAUAAAAUCUAAAUAAAUGCUUUAUUUAUAAAACAUAGCACUAACUCAGAUACAGUUAAAUGCAACUCCUUCUACCACUACAAGUUAACAUUUAUUAAUACAUGGUGUUUCCAAUGUGCCAGGUAUUUUUCAAAGUGCUUUAUAAUACCAAUUCAUGUUCAUCAUCACAACAAAGUCUAUAUAAUAAGAACAAUUAUUAUUAGUCUCAUUUUACACAUGAGAAAACUGAGGCAGAGAGAGGUUAUAUAACUUGCCCAAGGUCAACAGCCAUAAGUCGCUGAACCAGGAUUUGGACCCAAGCAGUUGUCCUAGAGUCCAAAUUCAAUUUUACUUGAUGUGGUUAUGUAGGUAAAUUUUCAUUCGAAAUAUCGUCCAUCAAAAUAUAUAUUAAGCAUGUCUUAUAUGCAGGCACUAUGUGCCAGGUGCUGAUCUAGGUGUUACAGCUACAACAAAGAACAAGACAGACAAAAAUCCCUGUCAUCAUGGAAGGGAUACAGAUAAUAAACAAGAGAAUGAAGUAAAAUAUAUAGUACAUUAGAUGAUAUAAGCGCUAUUGAGAAAAAUAAAACCAGAAAGAGGGAUGUGGAGUGUCAGAGGUGAGAUCAUGGGUGCAGUUUUAAAUAGGGAGUAAGAUAGCACUGAAUAGGUAACAUUUGAGCAACACUUGAAGGGAGUGAGAGAAUGAGCCAUUCUAAGUAUGUUUUAGUCAGAGGCCUGGAUUUGGAUCCUUGAGCCAGUGACAGUCUUAAAGAGCCUUGGAAUUACACUGAGUGUUUCUGGGCUCUGUAAUAUAGUGAGCCUAGGGCUGGAUACAGUAGCUCACACCUGCAAUCCCAGCUACUCAGGAGGUUGAGGCAGGAGGAUCCCUUGAGCCCAGGAGGUCAAGGCUGCAGUGAGCCAUGAUCACGCCACUGCACUCCAGGCUGGAAGAGACUGUGUCUCAAAAAAAUAAAUAAAGAGCCUAAUUAGCAUAGCCUAUGGGGGCUCAAAGUUGCUAGCUAAGGAAGAACAGAGUAAUGUAACAAAAUAAGCAUUAUGAAACAAACAAUAGACUCCUUCUAUGUUUUGAAUUGGAAUUUCUGAAGGAUUAUUUUGUGAGGUAACAAUACUGAAAACCUUAUGAACUCUAUUCUUCCCAGUUUCUAGCUGUUAUAAAAACAACACAUGAUUGAUAUAUUUAGUCGGCCUGGGUUACAAAUUGAUGAAGUCAUUCUCACACCAGGGAGAGUAGCCCUGUCUUCCUGUGGGGGUCAUUUUACUCAUUCCCUUAGGUUCCUAGGGAGUACCCUUAAUCCCCAGGCAAGAGUCACUCUAUGAAAAUAAAGUUGUUUAUGAAAUUUAGUGUGCCUGGGAAUGAUGAAGAAACAGAGAGAAACACCACAGCUGCACUAUGCCUACAUUCUAUAACUCUGACCACUAACAAACCAUGAGCCUGUAUCCCUCUUAAGUUGAUUUAGGUUAGCUUUUUGGUGUCAUCUUUUACCUCCUAUGCCUCAUGCUUUUCAAAAUCAAGUAACAUUUCCCCAACUUUGAGGUACCUGUUGCAAUACUCCAAAAGCUUAAAUGAACAGAACUGCACCUUUAUGUGGCCCAUUUGCCAACAUAGAAAAUAGGGGGAAAAUAAACUUUUUCUUUUGAACUCUGAGAAUACUCUAAAUUUGUCAUUUAUUUUUUAAGCAGGGAACAUCUUUUCAAAAGAAAUCCUCAUGGAAGCCUAACAAUGCCUACACUGUCAACUCUACUUUCUGCACCUAGAAGAGGGUACACUAGCUCAUUCUUAAUGCAAUACUACUUGAGGUUUUCCACUUUAAUAUUCCUUUCAGGGAGUAAAGAAUGGCACAACCUGAAGUUGUCACAAGAAGCGAUUAUCUGAAGCACCUGGACUUGUUCAAUCAGAUCUGAGAACAAAGUACUGGACUAGAUGGUGUCCUCAAAGUCUUACCAUAGGUCCUGGAAUAUUGGGGUUUAGCUGGCAGCAGAACCUCCUCCUUUCACAUCUAUCGCUACCUUUUGGCUAUCAGCUGGAACAUGGGGGCCAAAAGGGCUUAGGUGUCCUCUACCUCACAGACCCAGUGUCUUCUAAGCUUUUCUACUUUAAUUUUCUCAGCACUUGAAAAAUUCACCUUUUAAGACCUUAAAGAGCCCCACUUAAGACAUAAAGGCAAGGGCCAGGUGUGGUGGCUCACACCUGAAAUCCCAGUGCUUUGGGAGGCCAGGUGAAAGGAUCACAUGAGGCCAAGAGUUUGAGACCAGCCUGGGCAACAGUGAGACUCUGUCUCUCCCUCUCUCUAUACAUAAAAAUACAUAAAGAGAAUUAUUUACUUAAGAACUGCUACCCUGACUGCUUCCAGAGAGUCCAACUUAAUAAACUACAGGAAUUAUCUGUAAUUUAUUCUACAGAUUUAGUCCCCUAAUGAAGACCAAUGUGACUUUUUGUUGUGGGGAAGGUGAAGACUGUCAAGUAUUAAUAUUCUUUUUGAGGGGGGUUCUUUUAAGGUGGUUAAGAUACAUAUAAUAUACAAUUUGCCAUUUUAACUAUGUUAUAUAUACAAUUCAGUGACUAUUAAUUAUAUUCACAAUAUUGUGUAAUCAUCACUACCAUCUAUUUCCAAAACUUUUUCAUAACCACAAUCAGAAACUUUCCAUUAAGCAGUAACACCUAAUUCCCCCAUCUCCCAAGCCCCUGAAAAAUCAAAUAUUUUCUCCCAUUCUAUAGAUUGUCUUUUUACUUGUGUCUGGCUUAUUUCAUUUAGUGUUUUUUCAAACAUUAUUUUAAAACACUUAGCAUUAUUUCAAGAAUCAUCAUGUUGUAGCACAUAUCAGAACUUCAUUCCUUUUCAUAGCUGAGUAAUAAUUAAAGAUAUGUAUAACUACAUUUUGUUUAUCCAUUUAUGGACAAUUGAGUUGUUUCUACUUUUUGGCUAUGGUUAAUAGCGCUACGAUGAAACAGCACACUUGGUGUAUACUUGGUGUACAAGUAUCUGAGUCUUUAAAUUAUUUGGGAUAUAUACCUAGAAGCAGGAUUGCUAGGUCAUAUGGUUCUUCUUUAACUUUUUGAGGAAUCUCUAAACUACCUUCCAUAAUGGCUCCAUUAUUUUACAUUCCCACUAGCAAUGUUAAAGGAUUUAAGUUUUUCCAUAUCCUUGCCAACACUUGUUAUUUUCUGUAUUAUUAUUAUAUUAUUAUUGCCAUCCUAGUAGAUGUGAAAUGGUAUCUCAUUGUGAUUUUGAUUUGCAUUUCCCUAAUAACUAAUGGUGUAGAGCAUAUUUUCAACUGCAUGUUGGCUAUUUGUAUAUCUUCUUUUGAGAAAUGUCUGUUCAAGUCCUUUGAUCAGUACUUUUUUUAACUGGGUUCUUUUUGUUGUGGGGUUGUAGAAGUUCUUUAUAUAUUCUGUAUGUUAAAUCUUUAUCAGAUAUAUGAUUUACAAAUAUUUUCUUCCAUUCUGUAAAUUGUCUUUUUACUUUCUUUACAAUGUUCUUUGAUGCCCAAAAGUUUUUAAUUUUGAUGAAAUCCAA